UCUCAUUCCAUCUUCUAGAGAACCUUGGCUAACUGUUUGGUGGUUUCAUGUGUUUGAAACUAUAGGUUUCUAAAUUUUGCAUGACAGACUUUAAGAAAAGUCAUGUUGAAGA